UACGUAGGGGGCUAGCGUUGUCCGGAAUCAUUGGGCGUAAGGCGCGUGUAGGCGGUCCGGUAAGUCCGCUGUGAAAGUCGGGGGCUCAACCCUCGGAUGCCGGUGGAUACUGUCGGGCUUGAGUACGGAAGAGGCGAGUGGAAUUCCUGGUGUAGCGGUGAAAUGCGCAGAUAUCAGGAGGAACACCAAUUGCGAAGGCAGCUCGCUGGGACGUUACUGACACUGAGGAGCGAAAGCGUGGGUAGCAAACAGG
rnacentral:rRNA from 1 species